AGCGGUAGAGAUUCUUCGGAAUCUUGAGAGCGGCGCACGGGUGCGGAACACGUGUGCAACCUGCCUUUAUCAGGGGGAUAGCCUUUCGAAAGGAAGAUUAAUACCCCAUAAUAUAUUAGAUGGCAUCAUUUGAUAUUGAAAACUCCGGUGGAUAAAGAUGGGCACGCGCAGGAUUAGAUAGUUGGUAGGGUAACGGCCUACCAAGUCAACGAUCCUUAGGGGGCCUGAGAGGGUGAUCCCCCACACUGGUACUGAGACACGGACCAGACUCCUACGGGAGGCAGCAGUGAGGAAUAUUGGACAAUGGGUGAGAGCCUGAUCCAGCCAUCCCGCGUGAAGGACGACGGCCCUAUGGGUUGUAAACUUCUUUUGUAUAGGGAUAAACCUACUCUCGUGAGAGUAGCUGAAGGUACUAUACGAAUAAGCACCGGCUAACUCCGUGCCAGCAGCCGCGGUAAUACGGAGGGUGCAAGCGUUAUCCGGAUUUAUUGGGUUUAAAGGGUCCGUAGGCUGAUUUGUAAGUCAGUGGUGAAAUCUCACAGCUCAACUGUGAAACUGCCAUUGAUACUGCAAGUCUUGAGUGUUGUUGAAGUAGCUGGAAUAAGUAGUGUAGCGGUGAAAUGCAUAGAUAUUACUUAGAACACCAAUUGCGAAGGCAGGUUACUAAGCAACAACUGACGCUGAUGGACGAAAGCGUGGGGAGCGAACAGGAUUAGAUACCCUGGUAGUCCACGCCGUAAACGAUGCUAACUCGUUUUUGGGUUUUCGGAUUCAGAGACUAAGCGAAAGUGAUAAGUUAGCCACCUGGGGAGUACGUUCGCAAGAAUGAAACUCAAAGGAAUUGACGGGGGCCCGCACAAGCGGUGGAUUAUGUGGUUUAAUUCGAUGAUACGCGAGGAACCUUACCAAGGCUUAAAUGGGAAUUGACAGGUUUAGAAAUAGACUUUUCUUCGGACAAUUUUCAAGGUGCUGCAUGGUUGUCGUCAGCUCGUGCCGUGAGGUGUUAGGUUAAGUCCUGCAACGAGCGCAACCCCUGUCACUAGUUGCCAUCAUUCAGUUGGGGGACUCUAGUGGAGACUGCCUACGCAAGUAAAA
rnacentral:rRNA from 1 species